rnacentral:lncRNA from 1 species
UGGGGGGGACCCCAAUUAGUGGGGGGGCUCCCAAUUAAUGGAGAAGAGUAUUAAAAUUGGGGGGGGGGCUCCUCAAAUAAUGUGGGCGUCCCCAAAUUCGAGGGAACAUUAAAAUAAUGGGGGGGGCCCCAAUUAAUGGGGGGGGUCCCAAAAAAAUGGGAGGGUCCCCAAAAGACUGACACACGGAACCACGUGACCUCGUUUGCCCCGCCCCCAAUGACGCACACGACCACGUGAUCUCGUUGCCCGCCGUUUAUUGGCUGCUCCGCUCACUGCGCCGCUUUGGCCGCCCGCGCGCGUUUCUUCCUGACCAGCAGAGGGCGCUGACUGCGCAAAAUGGCGCUGGCGCGGCGCAGCGCAGCCAUCCUCAGGUCGGGUCUGUAUCUGUUCUUCCUCACCAGAUGCCUGAGGCUGCUGAGCGUGGCGCGGGCGUUGCGCCGGAUGCUGAUGCGGUCAUAGGAGGCCGCGGGCUUCCGCUGCCCUGAGCGUUUCUUGAGGACCACCAGCACUCCUUUGCCGUCCGGAGCCGGCUCCACCCCCAGCGUCUUACGGUGGAUCAGCCCGUUGUAACGGAAUGAAUUGCGGGACUUCAGGUUGUUGGGUUCAGUGCUGUAGGUCUGAUGGUUCCGUUUGAUGAGGAAACUCGAGCAGUUCCGCACCACCAUCCACUGCAGGUGGGCCGACAUGGCGGGGGGGGGGGCGGCAGCAGCUCCUACUGUGGGUCCCGGCUUCGCUGCGGCCUACGGGGCCUACGGGAGUCGGAGCGGCAGCGCGAGAUCUAUGGGGCAGCACGCGAUCUCCGCUCUCCUCCACCGCCGGAAGCGGAAAGAGCUCUGCGAGGGGCGGUUCCGGCGAAGACACCGUCGGUUCGGCGACUUCCGGCCUCUGUUCGGGAAUCUCCGCCUCUCUUCGACGAUCCCCUCCCUCGCUUCGGAAAUCUCCGCCAGCAGUUCGGCAAUCCUCGUCGUCGCUUCGGAAAUCUUCGCCCUGCCUUCGGGAUUCUUCGGUUUUUUUCGGCUAUUGUACCGUUCUAUUGCGAAGAAGGGGUCUGCGGGGAUGUGGGGUGGAUCUGUGGGGCACUAUGGGGUCUUGCGGGUCUCUAUGGGGCGUUAUGGGGUGGCUAUGGGGCUCUAUGCCUUCCCGUUGGAGUACUGUGGGUCAUUACUUGGUUUAUACGAACCCUUAACAACCUCUAUAGAGCUUUAUGAGGUGCUAUGGGGCGCUGUGGGGCUCUGCGUGCUCCUAUAGAGGCACUUUGGGGUGCUGUAGGAUCUUUAUAAGUUCCUGUGGGGGCACUAUGAGACCCUGUGCAGUAUUUAUGGGGCUCUAUGGGUCC